rnacentral:lncRNA from 1 species
CAACCAAUAGGUUAGCCCAUUUGCAUAUCAAGAACUUAUAACACAAAUCAUAUACAACAAUUCAAUUUAGUAACAUGUACAAACCAAUUCAUAUUCAAUUUGAAAGCAUAUGUAAUUCAAUCCAUUUCAAUAAUUCCAUUUCCAUUAGGUUACAUUUUCGCCCGAAAGAACUUUAGUAAAUCGAACGCAGAUACACGAGGCUAUAGUUCUCACACAAGCUGAAGGUGAUCAAGGUUGCUUAUACAAGUUGACAUUGCUCACACAAGCUAACAUUUAUGAAUUUGCUCACACAAGCUAACAUCGUAUCGAGGUUAUCAGUCCAGGCUAAACCAAUGAUACAUAUAAUCCGAGAAUCUGCAACAAAUGUUAGAUCUCAUAUAACCAUGUAAAUUCCUGAUUAUUUCCAUAUUUGUCCCUAAUGACAUGCCAUACGUAUCCUAAUCUUUUACUAAAUUCGCACGAGCAUUAUUACUAUAAUCAUAUCAUUUUAAUUCCUAUAACAAUAUAUACAUGUCAUAUCAAUCUUAUAAACAUUCCAUUUCCAUUUUGGUACCUUCUACCUAUACAUAAAUACCAUAUUUUUCAUACUUUGCAAUUGAGUCCAAUUGAUGCCAAAAUCACCAAGUUCACAUUUAUAUAAACUAAUAAGAAAAAUAAUUACAAUUUAAUUAUAACAUGAAAUAAAACAUCAAGUUCCAUAUGAACUUACUUGGCAAAACAACAAACGAACAAGCCUUUAAGGACUAAUCAACAAUUUUACCCUUUUCCUCGAUUAUCUUCGAUUUGGUUCAAUUUUGAAUUUAUAAAAACAUUCAGUUCAAUUUAUAAAUUCCAACAUAUUAUAACAUCUUAUUAAAUGCAUGAAUGAGUCCAAUUUCAUAUUUUGAAUACCCCUAAGAUUUUUUAUUUUAUUUAAUUUAGUCCCUAAAACUGAAAUUGUCAUAACUUACAGUUUUGAGCGUGGGUUUUAAAAACGAUCUUAAUCACAUCCUUAUCUGACCCUUUAUUAUCUAGUAUUACAGAAAUUUCACGUCAAUUUCAAAAUUUAUAAAUUUUAGUCUUUAUGUUCAAAAACUAGUAAUUAAACAUUACAAAUUAAUCCUUUUUCACAUAUAAGUUUAAAAUCUAUCCGUUUAACACCUAUUUCUUCAAGAGCUUAUCAAUGGAAACUUUCAAAAACUUUAACAGUUUUACAAAUUGGUACAUGAGCUAGCUAAAUCAAGUUUCUAUGACCUCAAAAACAUAAAAAUUACAAGAAAAAGACUUAAAAUUACCUAUUAAUUAAAGGGUCGAAUGCCAUAAAGCUUCAACAAUGGCUUCUUGAUUUCCUUUAGGUUAAUUUCGGUGAAGGAAGAAAGAUAAAAGAUGACAAAAAAGCACUACCAAUCCUUUAUAUACUUGUUUUAAC